GAUUUGUCUGGUUAAUUCCGAUAACGAACGAGACUCUCGCCUGCUAACUAGUCGGUUGGAUCUUGCUCGGUGAGUUGCGUGCCGGGAACACUCUUCGCGGGCGACCGCUUGCGUUGGGUCUGGGGUUGUUGGGCUUCGGUCCUCUCCUCUCUCCUGGCGUAGGUGGGUUUGUUCGUGUUGGGCCUCGGAUCGCGCACUCCAAGUCCGCCGCUUAUGCUAUAACUCUUCUUAGAGGGAUUCACGGUUCUGAAGCCGUCAGAGACUGAGAGCAAUAACAGGUCUGUGAUGCCCUUAGAUGCUCUGGGCUGCACGCGCGCUACAAUGCCGGGCACAGCAGGUCUUUUCCCUGCUCCGACAGGAGCGGGUAACCCUCUGAAAGCCAGUUUGUACUCGUGUCUGACACGAAAGGCGUGCUUGGGCCUGGGGCUUGCAAUUCUUUCCCACAAACGAGGAAUGCCUAGUAGCGGCGGGUCACUGAGCCCGCUGUGACUCAGUCCCUGCCCUUUGUACACACCGCCCGUCGCUACUACCGAUUGGGUGUUCCAGUGAGAGCCUUGGACUGGCGUCCGUUGCCUUCGGGCAAGCGGGUCCGACGGAAAGAGGUCCGAACUGGUGCACUUACAGGAAGUAAAAGUCGUAACAAGGUUUCCG
rnacentral:rRNA from 1 species